rnacentral:rRNA from 1 species
UACGUAGGGGGCUAGCGUUGUCCGGAAUCAUUGGGCGUAAAGCGCGUGUAGGCGGCCCGAUAAGUCCGCUGUGAAAGUCCAGGGCUCAACCCUGGGAUGCCGGUGGAUACUGUCGGGCUCGAGUCCGGAAGAGGCGAGUGGAAUUCCUGGUGUAGCGGUGAAAUGCGCAGAUAUCAGGAGGAACACCCGUGGCGAAAGCGGCUCUCUGGAACGGUACUGACGCUGAGACGCGAAAGCGUGGGGAGCGAACAGG